CCUUCCUUCUUUUUGUUGUUGUUGUUACAUGUUAAUGUCAAGAAGGCAUAUGGCAACAUGAAGUGCACACCACAGCUGCCUUCUUCAAUAGGACUAGGGACUAUUCUCAAAGCCCCCUGCACACUAGAAGCACUCACUAUGUCACACUCACACAGCUGAGAGGAAAAGGCGUCCUGUGUUCUGUUUCUGCCUCAUUGUGUAAUUUGGAGGAAUUUACUUUCUGUAUCCUGCUGAGCCUCAGUUUCCUUGUUCAUAAAAGGAGCACCCAGAAUGCAUCUCAUAUGAGAUUUAUGGGAUGCUUAAAGAGUAUCAGACAUACAAAAUGGUCACUGCAAGGCUCAGAGCACCUUUUAUUGUGGUGUGUUGGUCUUAGUUAACUUGAGAAUAAUUAAAGAUGAAAGGAGAAAAAAAUCUAAGGGAUUAUUAAAAUUUCAAAACAACUGUGGCUUUCUUGAUUCCCCUGCUUCUUCCUGGGAGAAGCAAACCAUUUGCUCUCACAUGGUGGAUUAUUGGUGCCAUGGAAACAGGAAUUGUAGAGACUGAGUAAACAGAAACCAAGCCGCUGAGCCUGAGAUGUUCUUUAAAAUAUAACGGUAAAUUUUUGAUCAGAGCCACAUUUCUAUGUGAUUUGGAGGCUAGAGAGACAGCUCAGUGGUCAAGAGCUCUUGAUUCUCUUGCAGAGGACCUGUGUUUGGCUCACACCCGUUUCUCCAGUUCUAGAGGAUCAUCUUUCUUCUGGACCACACAGGCACAAAACACAGAUCAUCAUGUUUAUGCAGCUGGUCCUGUGAUUCGACGAAAGAGUUAACUCUGCUGAUGAACAAGAACAUAGAUUGUGAACCUCUGACUUUGCAUCACAUCUGUGUGGAUGGAAACAAUGGCCAGCCUGCACUCAAUGUACUGGAUAAAGUGUACUGACACGAAGGACAAGAUGCCCAACUGAUUGAAGAAGAUGGAAAGGGUACGGAUCACCUACAGCAAAGUGCAGGGUUGGUUAAUGUUUCCCAAUGUCACCUCCCCUGCCGCUGGAAAUCAGGAUGCUUGACACCCGGACACCAAAUUAUUAAAGUUUCAAGCAGUGACACUUUCUUCUCCACGUGGGGCCUGGCUUCUCCUUGACACUUUGUCCCUACAGUCCCUUCAGGCCCCUUGGCCUUUCCUCCCUGCCUUUAACCUCCAUAACUAAUUAGAUCUGGCCAACUCUUCAGUGAAAAUAGUUUGCUUCAAAGUUUUCAUUCAGUGUUCCCUUCUGGGCAUACUUUGUCAUGUCAGUCCAGCCUGCCCUUUUUACAUGAAGUUUAAAAGGCUGAGCUAUUUUUAUAAGAUUAAACAACAACAACAACAACAACAAUAAAACAACACAAAAACCCAUCUUUGAAGAUCUCCACCUACCUCAAUGCUUUACAUAAGGACUAGAGUGUCAAGUCUGAUAAAAGCUUCACAAGCCAUGAAAUUAUUAGUUUUAGAAGUUUGUGGAUAAACAAACAGUUCUAAGGAUUUUGGUCUUAUUUGUGGGAGUUAAAAUUUAAUGAUUUGUUGUCUGCUAGCAGUUUUAUUUGGGAUCUAUUUACCUUCUGCACUAAAAAAGUAGACAAUGAAACUAACCAACCAACCAACUAACCAAUCAACCAACAACCAACCAACGAACCAAAGACUGAGCAAUAUAGUUGGGCUCAUCUUCAGUAACUUUCUUUGGAAAUCUUGUUAGACAUUUAAGCAGCAUCAUUAAUGUCAUUCUCUAUUUCGGAAAAGACAAAGGUGAAGCUGAAGACAAUAGAGAGUUAAUUUUUCAGAAUAUGGUCUCUUGGUUUUUUUUUUUUUCCUAUAAAUAACAUUAAAGAAGCCUUAAGUAGUCAACUACUUUAGACCAACUUCCACAUCUCACAAAUAAUUAUACAAAGUUACUUAUUUAUUUAAAAACAUAACUAUCAGGUGUAGAGGGUCUUGGGCUAGUCCCAGGUAGUCAUUCUGGGGGUGGUAGCCUCCCCCAUCACUUGGAAUUGCUCAGAGACUUGUUUUUCAGUUGAGUAAUUUCCAUCUAUCCUGUUCUCAGAAGAAGCCAGGGUAGUACUCUUACGCUUUGCUUUGCAGAUAGAGUCUCAAAGAGGUGCCUCAUUCUACCCUGGAUUUCACUCUGUAACACAGACUGGUCUCUAAUUCAUGAUUCUCCUGCCUCAGCCACCUGAGUGAUGAUGGGUUAGCAAAGCAUGUACCAUCAUACUUGAUUAUAAGACAUGUUUCAUUUUCAUCUAUCUUGUGAGAUACAACUUUUAAAACCUCAUAGAUGAAUACUUAGGUAUUAAACAUUUGUGCAUGCCUCCAAUACCAUUUCUAUCUAUAAUAGAAGAGCUAGAAAAGAUAUCUACAUGUUUAUGGCUUGGUUAAAAAAAAAAAAAGUGUUACACUGGAUCUUGCCUUCCACAUCCUGGAAAUGUACUUGAGAAAAAUUUUCUUGUAUUGCUAUAUUUAGCAAUUAUAAUAAGACUACCAAACAAACAUCUAUAAAGCACUUACAAAAUGCCAGGUAGCCCAUUAAGGAUGUUAGAUAGACUCCCAGUUACUUCCUACAAUAUAUCCAUGGAAAAUACCAUUAUCUCCAUUCUAAAGAUAAAAAUAGCAGCAGAGAAAUUAAUUAAAUGGCUGAAAUAUACAUAGCUAGUAAAUACCAGGAAAAGUUUAUGACUAUCAGUCAUUAUCUAGGCUUAAAGAAGCACUGAUAUGUUAUCCACUCUGUGAAAUUGCUUAUGAAAAAAAAAACAUAUAUUUAUUAAUUAUAGGAAAAAUGAGAGCUAUGCCCCCAGUUAUCACACAACUAUGUUUCCUAGCCUCCUCAGAGAUAUCAGUAAUAUGUUUUUAUUCUUUUUUUUUAAUUAUAGAACUGUCUAAUUCUAUGAAGAUGCUUGUAUAAAUUGCUUUUAGUUGCCUGUCAAAGUUCAUUUGGGGGGCUGGUGAGAUAGCUCAGAAGUUAAGAAUGUUAGUAUCUCUUUUAGAGGAUCACUGUUCAAUUCCUAGCACCCAUAUUAUAUGACCUAUAAUUGCCUUUAAUGCCAGCUCUCUGGGAUCCAGUUCUCUCUUCUGCCUUUCUAGUGUACCUACACACAAACAUACAUACACACACACACACACACACACACACACACCACACACACACACACAAACAUACACACUCACAAGCAUGCACUCAUGCAUACAAAGACACACAGGCAUAAAUAAUAAUGUAAUCAUAAUAAAGUUAUUUUUAAUUCAAUAAGGUAAUGUGUAGCCAGGUGGUGGUAGGGCCUGCCUUUAAUCCCAGCACUUGGGAGGUAGAGGCAGGUGGAUUUCUCAGUUUGAGGCCAGCCUGGUCUACAAAGUGAGUUCCGGGACAGCCAGUGCUAUAAGAUAAACCCUGUCUCAAAAAAACCCCAAAACAAAAAAAAAAACAAAAAACAAAAAACCGAAAACAAACAAACAAAAAACAAAAACAAAACAAAAAAGGUAUUGUGUAUGCUAAGUUGAAGAAACAGCAUAUCAAAUUAUGUCCAUAUAGAAAAAAAUAAAACAUUACAGUGUAGAGUAUGUCUAGUAACCCAUAAGACAUUUGCUGCUCCACAGUGAGGUAUUGACACUGGUAAAAUUCCCAUCAAGUAAAUGACAAUCAACUAAGGCAACAUGAAAAAACGCAUGGAACCUAAGGUAGGGAGGAUGAUUUGUGGUGUGGCAGGCACUGAAGAUCCAGCCCUGGCCUGUUGGACUGUGGGAGGAGGGCAUGCUUGAACCUUCAUCAAAUCUCCAAAGGGAAACAGGAGUUGACUGCAUUGGCUAAUACAGAGGAGGUGGUGAUUUGUGGGACUGGAGAGGGCACAGCUGCUCAUGUUAGGGAGGCAAAAGGCACUCAUGUCUGCAAAAUAGAGGUCUCUGAGCCUAUGUGGCUCUUUUGAGAAAAGCAUGUCCUUCCUGUCUUCCACUUCAGUAAACUGGAGGAGUGAAAACACAUUUGUGAGUGCCGAGAGUUCGCCGACGUUAGCAGCCUGUCGUUUUCCCAAAGUUUGAAAGAGCAAUGGAUUGAUUUCAAGGCUCACAGUGGGACAGGGUACGACAGCAGGGCUCAUAUGUCUUUCGGAAACAAUAUAAAUUCAUAGAGCUAUUUCAAGGUCUCGUGAAGAGGUGAUAAACUGGCGGGUCUGGUUACACACUUCCUCCUGUGGGGAUGAUUUUAUCCCUUUUAGAUAAGGCAGACUGAUUUGCUGUUUUCUCGGGCUGCUUUUCUGCAAAUCUACUUUAAAUGAGCAGGUUGAUUUCAGGGGCAGAUCUCUUAACUCCCUCUUCUUCCGCUUGGGUUCAACUCAAGUUCUUGUGAAAUCAUUAUCCUUUCUGUAGCCUUCAAGAUGGACUGCUGCAAAACCAAAUUACAAAGUAAACAAAACGAAGUUAAGAACGUGUUCAAGGAUAGGGUCCUUGUGCAGCUGUGGGUAAGGAAUCAAGCAGCCACCAUGGAAAUGUCGCCCUUUUAGCUUGGGCUUCCUCUAUAUCCUAUGCCUAUGACUUUCUGAAACACACAGCCACUCAGGCCAAAGAGGUAGUUUGCUCUCCCUAAACUAGAGCUACAUCCAAAUCAAAGCACAGUAUCCCCUUUCAGCAGUUGGAAGUGCAAAGAAUCAAGGCAAUUAGCUUGUUUCUCAGAAAUCACGCCAGUUCUCCAGGGAGGGCUCUACUUGUAAGAUCUAUCAAGAAAACCAAGCUUCAUAUUCUUCACAAGCUGGAAAAUCAACUGAAUAUUACCAAGUCAAAGACUCUAAACAUAUCCUUAUUAUGCUCAAUAUCAGCUUAUCUGUUCACUGCUGGUUCUUCCAUAUACUGAGUGAACAAACAAACAAAUUCCAUAUAGCUUAUUACCUACAGUUCUCACCCUUCCCAGCAAUAAAUAGGCCAGGAAAAAUAGCACCCUACAUUUAUUGCUGCAAACCUACAUAGUCCACACACAUCCCUGAACUCUCUCAGACUUUUAUUAACUGUUAAGU